rnacentral:rRNA from 1 species
CCUACGUGUGACAGCAGUGGGGAAUAUUGCGCAAUGGGCGAAAGCCUGACGCAGCGACGCCGCGUGAGGGAUGAAGGUCUUCGGAUCGUAAACCUCUGUCAGCAGGGAAGAACGGUCACUGUGCUAAUCAGCAGUGAAUUAACGGUACCUGCAAAGGAAGCACCGGCUAACUCCGUGCCAGCAGCCGCGGUAAUACGGAGGGUGCGAGCGUUAAUCGGAAUUACUGGGCGUAAAGCGCUCGUAGGCGGUAUGUCAAGGCAAGGGUGAAAUCCCCGCGCUCAACGUGGGAACUGCCUUGGAAACGUGCAAACUGGAGUGUGUGAGAGGAUAGUGGAAUGCCAGGUGUAGGAGUGAAAUCCGUAGAUAUCUGGAGGAAAAUCAGUGGCGAAGGCGACUAUCUGGCACAUAACUGACGCUGAGGAGCGAAAGCGUGGGUAGCAAACAGGAGUAGAUACCCCAGUAGGC